rnacentral:hammerhead_ribozyme from 1 species
GUACAACUGAUGUAUCCCAAAUUGGACGAAACGCGCGUCCUGGAU